rnacentral:rRNA from 1 species
AGGGAAUCUUCCACAAUGGACGCAAGUCUGAUGGAGCAACGCCGCGUGAGUGAAGAAGGUCUUCGGAUCGUAAAGCUCUGUUGUUGGUGAAGAAGGAUAGAGGCAGUAACUGGUCUUUAUUUGACGGUAAUCAACCAGAAAGUCACGGCUAACUACGUGCCAGCAGCCGCGGUAAUACGUAGGUGGCAAGCGUUGUCCGGAUUUAUUGGGCGUAAAGCGAGCGCAGGCGGAAUGAUAAGUCUGAUGUGAAAGCCCACGGCUCAACCGUGGAACUGCAUCGGAAACUGUCAUUCUUGAGUGCAGAAGAGGAGAGUGGAACUCCAUGUGUAGCGGUGGAAUGCGUAGAUAUAUGGAAGAACACCAGUGGCGAAGGCGGCUCUCUGGUCUGCAACUGACGCUGAGGCUCGAAAGCAUGGGUAGCGAACAGGAUUAGAUACCCUGGUAGUCCAUGCCGUAAACGAUGAGCGCUAGGUGUUGG